CGCUCUCUGGAAUAAAAAUUAUAUUAAUUGUAUAGAGAGUCGGGCCUGCCCAGUGACAUUUUAUGUUAAACGGCCGCGGUACCCUGACCGUGCAAAGGUAGCAUAAUCAUUUGCCUUUUGAUUGAGGGCUGGUAUGAAUGGCUUGACGAGAGCUGGACUGUCUCUUUUUAAAUUUAUAAAAAUUAACUUUUAAGUGAAAAGACUUAAAUUUAACUGAGUGACGAAAAGACCCUAUUGAGCUUUAGUUAAUUAGUGAAAAUAUUAAUAUUUUUGAUAUUUUGUGCACUGAAGUGCAUACAUAUUUCACUGAAAAUCUUUAGUUGGGGCGACUUAGGAGCAAAUAAAGCCUCCUUUUAAUAAUUUAGAAUAUCAAGGUAAUCAAACUGGUAUUAGUAGAUCCAGCACAUGCUGAUCAAAGGAAAAAGUUACCAUAGGGAUAACAGCGUGAUCUUUCUGGAGAGUUCUUAUUGAAGGAAAGGUUUACGACCUCGAUGUUGGACUAAGAUAUCCUAGAGGUGCAGAAGCUUCUAAUGGUUAGUCUGUUCGACUAUUAAAAUCUUACGUGAUCU
rnacentral:rRNA from 1 species